rnacentral:lncRNA from 1 species
GGCAGAUGAGUAUAGCCUUCAAUCAGAAAGCAAUAGAAGCUGACUUCUGGGUCUGUUGUGUUUUGCUCAUUAGGAAUGAUGUUCCUGACAUUCAGCGACAUCCACUUGGCCCCUUUUUCUGAUGAACAGCUCUAUGUGGAACACUUCUCCAGAGCCAAUUUUUGGUACCAGCAAUGUUUCUACGGGGUCAAUCUGUCCAGUCUCCGGGGUGCAGCAGUGGAUGAAUACUUCAGGCAGCCAAUAGUAGGUAACGGUUUGGCUGUCAACAGCCCCAACUGAGCCUCUGACUCAUUGGUACCAGGUGUGGUGCCUCCUGCAGACUCCUCUCUUUGCCAAGGAAGGGGAGAUGCUGUCAGGGAAAGUGCUGUUUGUAGCCAAUAAAC